rnacentral:rRNA from 1 species
UACGUAGGGUGCAAGCGUUGUCCGGAAUUAUUGGGCGUAAAGGGCUCGUAGGCGGAUCCGCCAGUCUGACGUGAAAUCUCCACCGCUCACCGGGGAGGGGCCGUUGGAUACUACGGAUCUGGAGUUCGGCAGAGGACCAUGGAAUUUCGGGUGUAGCGGUGGAAUGCGUAGAUAUCCGAAAGAACACCGGUGGCGAAGGCGGUGGUCUGGGCCUGAACUGACGCUGAGGAGCGAAAGCCAGGGGAGCAAACGGG